rnacentral:rRNA from 1 species
GCGUGGAUGAUGUGGUUUAAUUCGAUGCAACGCGAAAACCUUACCUACCUUUGACAUGUACGGAACUCGCCAGAGAUGGCUUGGUGCUCGAAAGAGAACCGUAAACACAGGUGCUGCAUGGCUGUCGUCAGCUCGUGUCGUGAGAUGUUGGGUUAAGUCCCGCAACGAGCGCAACCCUUGUCUUUAAUUGCCAGCAUUCAGUUGGGCACUUUAAAGAGACUGCCGGUGUUAAGCCGGAGGAAGGUGGGAUGACGUCAAGUCCUCAUGGCCUUUAUGCCCAGGGCUACACACGUGCUACAAUGGGUGGUACAAAGAGAUGCCAACUCGCGAGAGCGCGCCAAUCUCAGAAAGCCAUCCUCAGUUCGGAUUGGAGUCUGCAACUCGACUCCAUGAAGUUGGAAUCGCUAGUAAUCGCGGAUCAGCACGCCGCGGUGAAUACGUUCCCGGGCCUU